rnacentral:rRNA from 1 species
GAUGAACGCUAGCUACAGGCUUAACACAUGCAAGUCGAGGGGUAACGAGAGGAAAGCUUGCUUUCCUUGUCGACGACCGGCGCACGGGUGAGUAACGCGUAUCCAACCUGCCCCCAACUAGGGAAUAACCUUGCGAAAGUAAGACUAAUACCCUAUAAUUUCCUCAGAUGUCAUCUGACGAGGAAUAAAGAUUUAUCGGUUGUGGAUGGGGAUGCGUCUGAUUAGCUUGUUGGCGGGGUAACGGCCCACCAAGGCAACGAUCAGUAGGGGUUCUGAGAGGAAGGUCCCCCACAUUGGAACAGAGACACGGUCCAAACUCCUACGGGAGGAAGCAGUGAGGAAUAUUGGUCAAUGGGCGGAAGCCUGAACCAGCCAAGUAGCGUGCAGGAUGACGGCCCUAUGGGUUGUAAACUGCUUUUAUACAGGAAUAAAGUUAGCCACGUGUGGUUAUUUGUAGGUACUGUAUGAAUAAGGACCGGCUAAUUCCGUGCCAGCAGCCGCAGUAA